rnacentral:rRNA from 1 species
AAAACUAGCCAGUCUUUUGGGUAUGAAACCCAUUUGGGCAAGAGUAGUACUAGGAUGGGUGACCUCCCGGGAAGUCCUCGUGAAAGGGUUUC